UCCCGCCAUUAAUGGUGCAGACAACUGGGAAGUUAUCAAAUCGCCGGGGGCUGUCAAAUCACCGUGGGUUGUCAAGUCAUUGGAAUUAAUCCAUGUCCUUGGCAGGACAAUGUCCCAGGCAGGACAAUGUCCCAGAACGACCGUAUCGCAUGUCCUUGGCAAGACAACAGCCUAUAGCGAUUGUACGGCAUUCGGACAGAUCGACCGACUAUAUGUCGGUAUUCGACUGCCGGAACGUCGGGUGAUGACUCGAGAACACCGUCGACUGAUCUGAUGUCUUAUGAAAGUCGGACGUCGACUGCCACCCCCGACAAUGAGUCAAUGAUAUGGAUUCGACUGCUCGACCGAUCGAAAAUAGUAUAGAUCUGUUCGACCGACAUACCUUCGAUCGAAUAUUGUCGGCAGUCAUUAUCAGAGUCGUCCGUCUGUCCGGUGGACAGUGUCGGACGUCGGUCGGACCGAUUUGAGAAUAAAUCGACGUACAGAGAUCGAUCGGUAUAUCCCAAUACCUCCUAUUCAUCCG
rnacentral:lncRNA from 1 species